rnacentral:tRNA from 1 species
GUCAGGAUGGCCGAGCGGUCUAAGGCGCCAGACUCAAGGUUCAUAACCUUCUCGGUUCGAGACCGAGUGGAUGGGCGUUCUGGUCCUCUCUGAGGGCGUGGGUUCGAAUCCCACUUCUGACA